rnacentral:rRNA from 1 species
GGUGAGUAACGCGUAUGCAACCUACCUUAUACAGGGGAAUAGCCCGAAGAAAUUCGGAUUAAUGCUCCAUGGUUUAUCGAUAUGGCAUCGUAUUGAUAAUAAAGAUUUAUCGGUAUAAGAUGGGCAUGCGUAUCAUUAGCUAGUUGGUGUGGUAACGGCAUACCAAGGCAACGAUGAUUAGGGGUCCUGAGAGGGAGAUCCCCCACACUGGUACUGAGACACGGACCAGACUCCUACGGGAGGCAGCAGUGAGGAAUAUUGGUCAAUGGAGGCAACUCUGAACCAGCCAUGCCGCGUGCAGGAUGACGGUCCUAUGGAUUGUAAACUGCUUUUGUACAGGAAGAAACCUCCCUACGAGUAGGGACUUGACGGUACUGUAAGAAUAAGGAUCGGCUAACUCCGUGCCAGCAGCCGCGGUAAUACGGAGGAUCCGAGCGUUAUCCGGAAUUAUUGGGUUUAAAGGGUUCGUAGGCGGUUUUAUAAGUCAGUGGUGAAAUUUCCUAGCUUAACUAAGACACUGCCAUUGAUACUGUUUAACUUGAAUAAUAUGGAAGUAACUAGAAUAUGUAGUGUAGCGGUGAAAUGCUUAGAUAUUACAUGGAAUACCAAUUGCGAAGGCAGGUUACUACGUAUUUAUUGACGCUGAUGAACGAAAGCGUGGGGAGCGAACAGGAUUAGAUACCCUGGUAGUCCACGCCGUAAACGAUGGAUACUAGCUGUUCGGUUUUCGGUCUGAGUGGCUAAGCGAAAGUGAUAAGUAUCCCACCUGGGGAGUACGUUCGCAAGAAUGAAACUCAAAGGAAUUGACGGGGGCCCGCACAAGCGGUGGAGCAUGUGGUUUAAUUCGAUGAUACGCGAGGAACCUUACCAGGGCUUAAAUGUAGAUUGACAGAUUUGGAAACAGAUUUUUCUUCGGACAAUUUACAAGGUGCUGCAUGGUUGUCGUCAGCUCGUGCCGUGAGGUGUCAGGUUAAGUCCUAUAACGAGCGCAACCCCUAUUGUUAGUUACCAGCGCGUAGUGGCGGGGACUCUAGCAAGACUGCCGGUGCAAACCGUGAGGAAGGUGGGGAUGACGUCAAAUCAUCACGGCCCUUACGUCCUGGGCUACACACGUGCUACAAUGGCAAGUACAGAAAGCAGCUACCUGGCAACAGGAUGCGAAUCUCCAAAGCUUGUCUCAGUUCGGAUUGGAGUCUGCAACUCGACUCUAUGAAGCUGGAAUCGCUAGUAAUCGGAUAUCAGCCAUGAUCCGGUGAAUACGUUCCCGGGCCUU